CUCUGCUUCUAGAUACUCACGUAUUUUUAGCUACUCUUUGCUGAUUAGACAGGUCAGAGUGACAGGUAGCAUGCGUUCAUCCUGGGCACUGAGCUCCUCAGUCGGUUGUAGCAACAGGGCAGUAUCACUGUGUGUUGCAUUUCUAAAAGCAGGCAUUGGUGCACUCUUACAUCAUGGUAUCUUGUGCCUGGCUCUGUUUGGUUUGGCACCGUACCAUUCUGGGUAGCAGGGGGUUAGCAAGGUGAUAAAAAGCCUCAUUUCACCUCUCUGGAAGCUGAUCCUCAUAUCCAAAAAAUUUAAUACCAUCUGUCUUAAACUUUUUUUGGUGUCAGUACCAUGAAAGACUCAAAAGGAAUUGCUUGUCAUUAAUGACAUUUCCUACUUUCUUACUUUUAGUCCUUUGAGGAUUAGCAACCUUUAACCGUUGUUAUCAGUUUGACCCUGACAGUAAGUUACGCAAAUGAGUAUGUUCAGUCUCUUUAUGACUCAUCCCCAUCCAACCUUUGUGCUCACUUAGGAAUGCAUGCAGCAAAUUAAUUUGUCUUAUUUCUUCAACAGUGUCUGUUGGAUUAUUUUGCUGGAGAAAAACCGAGUGUCCCUUAGUAUGGUUUUAUCUCUGCCUGUCUUCCUGAGAAAGCAGGAAAGAGACACUCCGCCUUCAGAGCCCCCUGAGUUGGCAGUGAGAUGACUUACCCACAGAAGUGGAAAGUUUGGACAGCCUCAGGUAGACAGCGCCAUAAAUGUAUGCAGCACUUUGCAUAGGACAAAGAGUGUUCUUGCUUAUUCCUGCUUCCUGUGUAUACACUCUGCCUAUAUAAUGCAUGAAAAAGGACUCAAUUACACUUUACACUCAAAUUUUAAAAGGCAAGGAAGAUGAAAGGAGAUUAGAAUAAUUCAGGGAAGAACUUGGCACAGCUGAGAGAGAGCAUUUGGUGAACAAAAUUUAGGAAACAGUUUCAAGCAUAAGGAGAGUUUGUCUGGAGUGUAUGAAUCCAAAAGUAAGAGAGGACAGGAGCUGUAAUUUUCCAGCUGGG
rnacentral:lncRNA from 1 species